rnacentral:lncRNA from 1 species
AACAAACAACUUAGUAGCAAGAGUAAAAAACAUAAUUUUUAUGAUACAUCUUCGUUAUAAUUCUUAAUAAAUUUCAAUAAAGGCACUAUCUAAACCGUUCAAUUUACAACGAUCACAACAAGAACAUAAAUUUGCAUAUUUGUGUUUCUUUUUUAAACCAUCUUAUGCUUUGAUACCAUAUAAAAGUAACCAAACAAGAU